rnacentral:rRNA from 2 species
UUAAGCGACUAAGCGUACACGGUGGAUGCCCUGGCAGUCAGAGGCGAUGAAGGACGUGCUAAUCUGCGAUAAGCGUCGGUAAGGUGAUAUGAACCGUUAUAACCGGCGAUUUCCGAAUGGGGAAACCCAGUGUGAUUCGUCACACUAUCAUUAACUGAAUCCAUAGGUUAAUGAGGCGAACCGGGGGAACUGAAACAUCUAAGUACCCCGAGGAAAAGAAAUCAACCGAGAUUCCCCCAGUAGCGGCGAGCGAACGGGGAGCAGCCCAGAGCCUGAAUCAGUGUGUGUGUUAGUGGAAGCGUCUGGAAAGGCGCGCGAUACAGGGUGACAGCCCCGUACACAAAAAUGCACAUGCUGUGAGCUCGAUGAGUAGGGCGGGACACGUGGUAUCCUGUCUGAAUAUGGGGGGACCAUCCUCCAAGGCUAAAUACUCCUGACUGACCGAUAGUGAACCAGUACCGUGAGGGAAAGGCGAAAAGAACCCCGGCGAGGGGAGUGAAAAAGAACCUGAAACCGUGUACGUACAAGCAGUGGGAGCACGCUUAGGCGUGUGACUGCGUACCUUUUGUAUAAUGGGUCAGCGACUUAUAUUCUGUAGCAAGGUUAACCGAAUAGGGGAGCCGAAGGGAAACCGAGUCUUAACUGGGCGUUAAGUUGCAGGGUAUAGACCCGAAACCCGGUGAUCUAGCCAUGGGCAGGUUGAAGGUUGGGUAACACUAACUGGAGGACCGAACCGACUAAUGUUGAAAAAUUAGCGGAUGACUUGUGGCUGGGGGUGAAAGGCCAAUCAAACCGGGAGAUAGCUGGUUCUCCCCGAAAGCUAUUUAGGUAGCGCCUCGUGAAUUCAUCUCCGGGGGUAGAGCACUGUUUCGGCAAGGGGGUCAUCCCGACUUACCAACCCGAUGCAAACUGCGAAUACCGGAGAAUGUUAUCACGGGAGACACACGGCGGGUGCUAACGUCCGUCGUGAAGAGGGAAACAACCCAGACCGCCAGCUAAGGUCCCAAAGUCAUGGUUAAGUGGGAAACGAUGUGGGAAGGCCCAGACAGCCAGGAUGUUGGCUUAGAAGCAGCCAUCAUUUAAAGAAAGCGUAAUAGCUCACUGGUCGAGUCGGCCUGCGCGGAAGAUGUAACGGGGCUAAACCAUGCACCGAAGCUGCGGCAGCGACGCUGAUGCGUUGUUGGGUAGGGGAGCGUUCUGUAAGCCUGUGAAGGUGUACUGUGAGGUAUGCUGGAGGUAUCAGAAGUGCGAAUGCUGACAUAAGUAACGAUAAAGCGGGUGAAAAGCCCGCUCGCCGGAAGACCAAGGGUUCCUGUCCAACGUUAAUCGGGGCAGGGUGAGUCGACCCCUAAGGCGAGGCCGAAAGGCGUAGUCGAUGGGAAACAGGUUAAUAUUCCUGUACUUGGUGUUACUGCGAAGGGGGGACGGAGAAGGCUAUGUUGGCCGGGCGACGGUUGUCCCGGUUUAAGCGUGUAGGCUGGUUUUCCAGGCAAAUCCGGAAAAUCAAGGCUGAGGCGUGAUGACGAGGCACUACGGUGCUGAAGCAACAAAUGCCCUGCUUCCAGGAAAAGCCUCUAAGCAUCAGGUAACAUCAAAUCGUACCCCAAACCGACACAGGUGGUCAGGUAGAGAAUACCAAGGCGCUUGAGAGAACUCGGGUGAAGGAACUAGGCAAAAUGGUGCCGUAACUUCGGGAGAAGGCACGCUGAUAUGUAGGUGAAGUCCCUCGCGGAUGGAGCUGAAAUCAGUCGAAGAUACCAGCUGGCUGCAACUGUUUAUUAAAAACACAGCACUGUGCAAACACGAAAGUGGACGUAUACGGUGUGACGCCUGCCCGGUGCCGGAAGGUUAAUUGAUGGGGUCAGCGCAAGCGAAGCUCUUGAUCGAAGCCCCGGUAAACGGCGGCCGUAACUAUAACGGUCCUAAGGUAGCGAAAUUCCUUGUCGGGUAAGUUCCGACCUGCACGAAUGGCGUAAUGAUGGCCAGGCUGUCUCCACCCGAGACUCAGUGAAAUUGAACUCGCUGUGAAGAUGCAGUGUACCCGCGGCAAGACGGAAAGACCCCGUGAACCUUUACUAUAGCUUGACACUGAACAUUGAGCCUUGAUGUGUAGGAUAGGUGGGAGGCUUUGAAGUGUGGACGCCAGUCUGCAUGGAGCCGACCUUGAAAUACCACCCUUUAAUGUUUGAUGUUCUAACGUGGACCCGUAAUCCGGGUUGCGGACAGUGUCUGGUGGGUAGUUUGACUGGGGCGGUCUCCUCCUAAAGAGUAACGGAGGAGCACGAAGGUUGGCUAAUCCUGGUCGGACAUCAGGAGGUUAGUGCAAUGGCAUAAGCCAGCUUGACUGCGAGCGUGACGGCGCGAGCAGGUGCGAAAGCAGGUCAUAGUGAUCCGGUGGUUCUGAAUGGAAGGGCCAUCGCUCAACGGAUAAAAGGUACUCCGGGGAUAACAGGCUGAUACCGCCCAAGAGUUCAUAUCGACGGCGGUGUUUGGCACCUCGAUGUCGGCUCAUCACAUCCUGGGGCUGAAGUAGGUCCCAAGGGUAUGGCUGUUCGCCAUUUAAAGUGGUACGCGAGCUGGGUUUAGAACGUCGUGAGACAGUUCGGUCCCUAUCUGCCGUGGGCGCUGGAGAAUUGAGGGGGGCUGCUCCUAGUACGAGAGGACCGGAGUGGACGCAUCACUGGUGUUCGGGUUGUCAUGCCAAUGGCACUGCCCGGUAGCUAAAUGCGGAAGAGAUAAGUGCUGAAAGCAUCUAAGCACGAAACUUGCCCCGAGAUGAGUUCUCCCUGACUCCUUGAGAGUCCUGAAGGAACGUUGAAGACGACGACGUUGAUAGGCCGGGUGUGUAAGCGCAGCGAUGCGUUGAGCUAACCGGUACUAAUGAACCGUGAGGCUUAACCUU